rnacentral:tRNA from 1 species
AUUCAAAUAGUUUAUCUUAAAAUGUCAGUUUGUGGGGCUGGAGAUAUAAAAAUUUAUUUUGAAUA